rnacentral:rRNA from 1 species
GUAACAAGGUCUCCGUUGGUGAACCAGCGGAGGGAUCAUUACUGAGUUUACGCUCUACAACCCUUUGUGAACAUACCUAUAACUGUUGCUUCGGCGGGUAGGGUCUCCGCGACCCUCCCGGCCUCCCGCCUCCGGGCGGGUCGGCGCCCGCCGGAGGAUAACCAAACUCUGAUUUAACGACGUUUCUUCUGAGUGGUACAAGCAAAUAAUCAAAACUUUUAACAACGGAUCUCUUGGUUCUGGCAUCGAUGAAGAACGCAGCGAAAUGCGAUAAGUAAUGUGAAUUGCAGAAUUCAGUGAAUCAUCGAAUCUUUGAACGCACAUUGCGCCCGCCAGCAUUCUGGCGGGCAUGCCUGUUCGAGCGUCAUUUCAACCCUCAAGCUCUGCUUGGUGUUGGGGCCCUACAGCUGAUGUAGGCCCUCAAAGGUAGUGGCGGACCCUCUCGGAGCCUCCUUUGCGUAGUAACUUUACGUCUCGCACUGGGAUCCGGAGGGACUCUUGCCGUAAAACCCCCAAUUUUCCAAAGGUUGACCUCGGAUCAGGUAGGAAUACCCGCUGAACUUAAGCAUAUCAAU